rnacentral:tRNA from 1 species
UCCCUCCUGGCUCAGACAGUAAAGCUUCUGCCUGCAAUGCAGGAGACCCAGGUUCGAUCCCUGGGUUGGAAA